GCUGAUAUGGCUCAGUUGGUUAGAGCGCACCCUUGGUAAGGGUGAGGUCCCCAGUUCGACUCUGGGUAUCAGCACCA
rnacentral:tRNA from 1 species